GCUUGGGAAACUGAUAGUCUGGAGUGAGGGAGAGGCAGAUGGAAUUGGUGGUGUAGGGGUAAAAUCCGUAGAUAUCACCAAGAAUACCCAUUGCGAAGGCGAUCUGCUGGAACUCAACUGACGCUAAGGCGCGAAAGCGUGGGGAGCAAACAGGAUUAGAUACCCUGGUAGUCCACGCCCUAAACGAUGUACACUAGUUGUUGGGGUGCUAGUCAUCUCAGUAAUGCAGCUAACGCAUUAAGUGUACCGCCUGGGGAGUACGGUCGCAAGAUUAAAACUCAAAGGAAUAGACGGGGACCCGCACAAGCGGUGGAGCAUGUGGUUUAAUUCGAAGAUACGCGAAGAACCUUACCUGGGCUUGAUAUCCUAAGAACCUUUUAGAGAUAAGAGGGUGCUAGCUUGCUAGAACUUAGAGACAGGUGCUGCACGGCUGUCGUCAGCUCGUGUCGUGAGAUGUUGGGUUAAGUCCCGCAACGAGCGCAACCCACGUAUUUAGUUGCUAACGGUUCGGCCGAGCACUCUAAAUAGACUGCCUUCGUAAGGAGGAGGAAGGUGUGGACGACGUCAAGUCAUCAUGGCCCUUAUGCCCAGGGCGACACACGUGCUACAAUGGCAUAUACAAUGAGACGCAAUACCGCGAGGUGGAGCAAAUCUAUAAAAUAUGUCCCAGUUCGGAUUGUUCUCUGCAACUCGAGAGCAUGA
rnacentral:rRNA from 1 species